rnacentral:rRNA from 1 species
GAUGAACGCUGGCGGCGUGCCUAAUACAUGCAAGUCGAGCGAACAGACGAGGCGCUUGCUCCUCUGACGUUAGCGGCGGACGGGUGAGUAACACGUGGAUAACCUACCUAUCAGACUGGGAUAACUUCGGGAAACCGGAGCUAAUACCGGAUAAUAUAUUGAACCGCAUGGUUCAAUAGUGAAAGACGGUUUUGCUGUCACUUAUAGAUGGAUCCGCGCCGCAUUAGCUAGUUGGUAAGGUAACGGCUUACCAAGGCAACGAUGCGUAGCCGACCUGAGAGGGUGAUCGGCCACACUGGAACUGAGACACGGUCCAGACUCCUACGGGAGGCAGCAGUAGGGAAUCUUCCGCAAAGGGCGAAAGCCUGACGGAGCAACGCCGCGUGAGUGAUGAAGGUCUUCGGAUCGUAAAACUCUGUUAUUAGGGAAGAACAAAUGUGUAAGUAACUAUGCACGUCUUGACGGUACCUAAUCAGAAAGCCACGGCUAACUACGUG